AACUGCACAGCCGCGUUAAACUGCUUAUUUUAACGAUUUCCAGUACCUACACACCCCUAACAGUUUCAGUACCCUUCAAAAGGGUCUAAUAUGCUACUGAAACGCAAUUCAGUAUUUUACUGUACUUGCUUAAGUACAAAUUCCCUACUAACCAUUCAUUUGCCUACUUUUUACGUUAUUCCUAGUGAAACGGUUAGUAGGCAUAGUUCUGUUAAGUAGGUUGGUCCAGCAGUUUAUAAAGAUUUAGUUAGUAGUCUGAAAAAUUCAGUAUGUUCAGGUAGGGUUAGUAGUUUGAUUUUAAAAAGUAAUGAAUAAUAAAAGCAAUGUAGGUUAUAGCUAGUAGUUUACAAAAAUUUAGUACUUUUGUUAUAAGUAGUGUGAACAAUUCAGUACCUUUGAUCACUAGUUCAGAAAGUUCAGUAGGAAGGGUUAGUAGUUUGAUGGAAAAAAGUAAUCAGUUGUAGGUAAGUCACAUACAAAAUUUUAAGUAUGUUUUCACAUCAUUGCAGUUUAAGUAGGGUACAAGGAAUAAGUAGUAUUCGUUAGAAUAGUGGCAUGACUUUGCUCCGAGCUACCCGCUGAUUUGUUUAAUAAGUGAGCUAUAGUGCAACCUCAUCUACUAUCAAUUAGUGAUUUAUUGUUUAGACGAAAAUGGCUGCUAAAUGUACCAAAGUCAAGUGUCAGAUGUGUCCCCAGUUAAUCGAUUUGACAAAUCCAAUAGAUUUUUUCCACCACAUCAGAGUAUUCCACUCGUUUUCGUCAAAUUUUUCAGUGCAAUGCAAGUAUCGGAAUUGCAACCAGACUUACUUGGUGUACAAUUCAUUCAAGGCCCACUGGCAUAGAAAACACGGGAGUGUUUUACAGCCUCAAAAUCAUUUGUUAGAUGACGCCAAUGUUCUUGAACCAGAACUUCAGACUGGUGACGCAGAGAAAAGUAAUUUGGAAGACACAGAAGCGAUAACAAACAUGGACUUGGAAGACAGUGAUGACAGUUCCAAUUUUCUCCGUCAUUCUGCUUGUUUGGAAUGCAUGGCAGAUGUUGCUGCAAUUUGGAAUCCAACAAGUGUAACUGAUGUUGAAUGGGAAGCAGCCGCAUUACUGAGACUCAGGCAACAGUUCUAUUUGCCAUUUGAGGCACUGCUGUGUGUUUCUGACGCCAUUCAUCAACAUCAUGACAAGAAAUUACAGCAAGUAAAGGAGCAGCUCAUACCUCUUUUCAGUGAUGAAACAACUCAAUCACCUGCAUUUCAUACCAUUUUCAACAAGUUGGGAGGUGAGGAAGACCUGACACGUUAUCGACUAGAAUCUAUCUGGAAAAACUCAUUCCCAGCCAUCAUGCCUAUUGCUGUAAUACUUAACGAAGGGAAUCCUUCCUUUGAAUGGGCUACAGAUGCCCAGGGAAAAUGUCUUUUGAAAGAAAUCUACGAAGAGGGGUAUCUCAUUCCAUUUUUGUAGCAGCUACAACAACUAUUGGGUAGGAUUUGACUUGGCUAGUCAACAACACAAGCCAAGAUCACUGAGAUCAUAUCACCACUGUUAGAUGGAACAGCUUCAGCUUACCAGUUCUCCAAGUUUUUAGAAGAAGGAUUUGACUUGGCUAGUCAACAACACUCCAAGUUGCUGUAAAGAUGCUGCCAGCUAUCCAGCUAAUGUUGAAGGCAUGCAGUCUCAAUCGAUCAUCAUAAACUAGUUAGCUCUGCCAACAUCAGUGAUAUUGUUUGUACCAAACACACUCAGGCAUGCCUUAGUGUGAACUGAGUUCAUUGUAAGUGCCCCUCCAAUAACUCAGUGCAAUUUUAAUGUGGUGAUUUUAUACUUUUUUAAUUAAGUUCAUUUGUACUUAAAUAGGAGUUUUUAUUUUAUUUAUUAUUUUGUUAUCACAUUUUCAUGACAUGGCAACGUCAUGAAAAUUUGCACAUUUCAAACAUAUCGGCAACGUUUAGUGUGUCAAAGACGCUCAUUUCUCCUAGCACUUCACGAGAGCACUUCUCUCGUGGUGAAACCGUGAAAUAGUGUUUUAUUAAUGUGAAAUAAGAAGCCGUCAAGUCGAUAUUCGAAAUUUUCCGUCACAUAAAAGUUCCAAACUCUUCAUCUAUGCGAUGGACAUCACUCAGUGGAGUGCUUCUGAAGUUAGGCAAGCUUUGGAAGCAUAAGGCUUUGAGUUGGAUAUCUGCAAAACCUUUGUGUACGCUCAGAGAAUCUCAAUCCAACAUGUUCAAGUCAAGCUGAGACAGUGAACACCAAUGCUGACAAAGUACGCUCAGAGAAUCUCAAUCCAACAUGUUCAAGUCAAGCUGAGACAGUGAACACCAAUGCUGACAAAGUACGCUCAGAGAAUCUCAAUCCAACAUGUUCAAGUCAAGCUGAGACAGUGAACACCAAUGCUGACAAAGUACGCUCAAAGAAUCUCAAUCCAACAUGUUCAAGUCAAGCUGAGACAGUGAACACAAAUGCUGACAAAGUGAGUCUGAUGGACUGAUGUGUUCCGUAAUAUUUCAUUUUGUGACGAUUGAUUGUAACUUCAAUACAAUGAUAUGUUACUCA
rnacentral:lncRNA from 1 species